rnacentral:rRNA from 1 species
UACGGAGGGUGCAAGCGUUAAUCGGAAUUACUGGGCGUAAAGCGCACGCAGGUGGCUGAGUCAGUCGAUUGUGAAAGCCCUGGGCUUAACCUGGGAAUUGCAGUCGAUACUACUCAGCUAGAGUAUGGGAGAGGGCAGUGGAAUUCCCGGUGUAGCGGUGAAAUGCGUAGAUAUCGGGGAGGAACAUCAGUGGCGAAGGCGGCUGCCUGGCCCAAUACUGACACUCAGGUGCGACAGCGGUGGGGAGCAAACAGG